AAUAGCAUUUCGACGCCAUUUUGGCUCGAAAUGCUAAUUCGGUGAAUUUUCUCAUCGCGAUACUUUGUUAAUCUAAUGACUUUAAUUACACCGUUCUCCCAGUUUGCAUGGAGGAGAAAAACACACAUAGCCCCUCAUCCGGAAUGCUCCCGAGGAGAAUCUAACCGGACUAACAAUCAGGAGCCGGUCUCUUGAUUGUGCAGGAUUCGAUGAGUCUAUGUAUAAAAAAGGACAGCGGACAUCAUCGUUUACCUGUUAAAAAACUCCCCCUAUUCAGCAUCUCCGCAAGCUACAUUGGGCACACCUCGGAACCGCCCCGGCGAUAUUUCAUCAGGGUGCACUCAAGUUGUAUACGCUCCCACCUCCAUGAUAUUCGAAGCCCGAGCUAAAAGAGCCCUUUGCCUCUUCAGGGCCUGACGCUCCCAUUCGGCCCGCUCCUUCUUGCGAGAAGGAGACCGCAUGACGGUCUCGCAGAAAUCCGCGAGAGCUGUCCAACACGCAGCGGAGCACAUAGCUGCCCUGACAAUGGAGCCGUACGUCCUGUCAAGGACAUCGAGCCCCAAUCGCUCAAAAAGUGACGUCCUCUCCGCAGCCCAAGAUGGGCAAAACAAUAGCAUGUGCAUCGCCGUAUCCGCAGUCGCACGAAUGCGCACAAAUCGGCGACGUGUUACGCUGUAUCUCAAAACAGUAGACCUCAAAGCAUCCAUGACCCAUUAAAAUCUGGAUCAUGCGAAUUAUAUGAAUAUACUAAAAAUAAAGAAUAGGCCCCUCCAUCGUCCAUUUUUUGAGAACGCAACGACAUUUUCUUCGUCUAUUUGAUUUUAACACGAUCUUUGACAUAGAGAUUUGACACAAAGAUUGGGAAAUUUUUUGGUUGAUUUCUUAAAUCAUCGUAUUCCAAUCAGUGUUUGAAUUAUUUUGGAAGCGCGCUGCCGUAAAAUGUCCAACACUUUCGCUCCAAGAUGGAAAUGCCUUAAGGGUUGCAGAUUAUAAUCUGGCUACCAAGUUAGCCUGGGAGGGGAAUAUGGACAUACAAUUUAUUGGAAAAAAAUCAGAGUUUUUAAACUCAUCCUUUAACAAAAUACACGACAAAAUCGGAGAAAUGCAAUAUAGACUUUGCAAUAAUACAUUCCAAUAAGUCCUUGGCAUCGGAACUGUGGAAUUUUGUGAUGCGUUCAUUGAAUAACAGAGAAUGCGGUACUUUAGAAGCUGCGGACACACUGUUAGGAAUCCCUUGUAUGGUACAGAUAGUGAUAUCAUUGUCAAAUGGAUUGACGUUAAUGAGAUGAGAAACAGAAAAGUUAAAACAUUUAAUGAAAUUAAAGCUCUCGAUGAAAAUUCUACGAAUAUUUAUUGUCCAUCGCUCAUCGAUGAUUACUAUUCAAGCAAAUCUAAGGAAUUAGAAUCAUUUAAUUUGUACGAUUUUGCCAGAUUUUGGGAAAUUCGAAACAGAUGCCAAAAAAUGACGAAGUCAAGUGUUAUAAACUUGUAUCAGUUUAUUUAAAAAAAAAAUGAAAAAAGUGUUAUUUAAUUAAUCAUUAUCGAUUUAAUGUAAAAAUUGAACUCGAAAAAUAUUUUUACUCGUUGCUCCUUUUGUUUAAACCGUGGAGAGAUUUGAGUGAAAUCAAAGGUGCAUACGAGACUUACACGGAUGCCUUUAAGAAUUCAAUGUCUGCUUUGACGAAGGCGAUGAAAUUCACAAAAGGCUCGAAGAAAUACAGCUUUUGUGUGCGUUGCUGAAUUAAUCGAGAAGCGCGAAAAUGAUCUGAAAACAGCAGAUAGAGACAAAUUCGAUGACAAUGAACUGGAUUGCAAUCCGAUAGAGGCUGACAACGCGAUGAAAGAUCUGAUAGAUUUUGGUAAGAUUGACACCCCGAUUAAUUUAUCGCAAAUGAUGCGCGAUUGAAGGCGACGAAGGCCAGAAAAGUCUUCGAUAGAAUAUGUCAAGUUUUACAAAAUAAAAAUCAGAUUCUGCGACUGUACAUAAGUAGCGAGGGUGAUACAGGAAAAAGUUUCUUAUUGAAACGAUUAAACAUUGGAUCAGAUACAUUUAAAAAAAGCGACUGCCAUAUCUGCUCCCACGGGUAUCGCGGCAUUCAAUAUCAAUGGCUUGACGAUCCAUAAAAUGUUUCAACUACUCGUUACCCAUGAAUCUAUGGCAAAAUAUACGACUAAAGAGUGUCGAAUUAAAGACUGUCGAAUUAUUUAUAAUUGAUGAAGUAUCUAUGAUUUUGAAUGUGACAUUUAUGUUUAUCAAUCUACGAUUAUGUGAAAUUGAUACGACAGAUGAUAGUUUCUUUGGCAGAAAACACAUUCUUUUGUUUGGAGACUUGUUGCAGUUUCCCUCUGUAAAAGAAACAAUCUCCGAAAAUAUCUCGAUCAGAAAUUCACAAGUAUUUAAGUACCAUGGAUGGAUCUGAUUCUUGGAGAGGAUUGUUCGAUUGCAACGAACUCUUGAUUAAUAUACGACAAAGAUGCGACAACAUAUAUCGUAAUAUAUAAUACUUUCUAAAAUACGCAUAAGUUUGGUAACGGAUUUCGAUAUCAAUGUUCUUCAGUCGAGAAAAAUCUAUUUUAAAGGAAGUAGUUGCGACGAAAGAUUGAAUAAACUUUGCACUUAUAUGAAUCAAUUACCAGUUGAUACAAUAUGUUUAUUACGCACGUGAUAUUUGUGCAAGGUUUUGAACAUGGCAAUGCUCGAUAAAAUUGACGGUAAUAAAAUUGUACUGAUAGCAGAAGAUGAUGCCAAUUGUGCUCCAGCAUUGAAAAAAAGAGUGCACAAAAUUUUGGAAAACAAAGAUGAUAAAGUUUUGGAAACAGCUUGAAAGAGUAAUAGCGAUUAAAAUUGGCGCUAAAUUAAGUGAUGAUUCGACGAGACAUUGAUGUAACUUUGGGACUUGUCAAUGGAAUGAUAGGCAAUGCAGUUAAUCGCUCUGUUGAUGGAAAUCAUAUUGAUUCCAUUAAAAUAGUUAUUUCGGAUAACAAAGAAAUCACAAUAACGAAAGUAGAUAUUAAAUUCGAAAUAUUUCACAAAAUGAUGGUACAUCGGAAAUAAUUUCCAUUGUCUCUCAGUUAUAAUUAUACACUUAGGAAUAACUAUACACAAAAGUCAAGGAAUUAGGAAAGAUGGAAGGGCCCAUUCUUUAUUUUAAGUAUAUAUUCAUAAUGACACGCGUUACAUCAACUGGGACGUAAUGUCAGUUGUAUAACGACACGUUGCAAUAAUGACCAUCAGUACACAUCCACUAGAAAUCUGUACAUAUAUUUUUUUUAUCUCUUUAUCGACCAGUUUUAAAAUCGAUCUAUUUUAAAUAUAUAUAUACUUGUCAUUUUGUAAUUAUAACAUUGAGAAUGACCUUAUCGGGCUCGAAACGUCGUUUGUUAUUUUUAAUUUGGCUUAGUUCUUUAUACUUAUAUGCAAACUUUGAAUAGUCUUUUUAUCAUAUUUCGGUAACUUUUACUUAAUAUUAUUCCUUUUCUUCAAUUUGGAAUUAUUACUUAUUAACAUAGACCUGCGGCAUACGAUACUUGUCUUCCCACUACAUUUCUUGCAACCUUCGGAAGGUUAAGCAGUCACCUAUCUCACGUUAAGAAGUUAUGAAAAAUGGAAUAGGGAAUUCAACUCUGAUGAUGCUGAUUAUGACAUAUUAGUCAAUGUAAUGAUCCUUAGUGACCAUCGAAAGACAAUUCACUUCCGAUAACCUUGAUUCUUCCACACAUUAUGAAAAUCAUCAAUCUUCGAACCAUCAAUCUUUGAACAAUCUUCGGAGAAUUGUAGCAGUCACCCAUCACGCAUUACAAAGCUAUCUAAAAAAAUUAAAACGAUUCUUACUCAUAUUAUUAAACUAUUUAACUCAUUAUUAUUUAACUCAUAUUAUUAUUAAAGUCAUGACCCUGAAUGACCAUCGGACACUUUCAACAGACGGGGGUGAGAGAGGACGAAAGAGAGUGAGAUAGAGCGAAAAAGAAAGGGGUGGUAAGGGUGGGUGGUGGAGGAGGAGGGGGUGAAGUUGGUCGAAGUUGGGGGAGAUGUGAGUGAAAGGUGAGAGAGAAGAAAGAUGCAUAUGAUUGCGGACAAAAAAGAAGGAGAAGAAGGAGAUGUUACUUCAUUUUUCAUGAAAAUCAUCAUUUUUCGACCGCUUGUAUGCCUAGAACGGCUUGACCGAUUUUUAUUUUUUUUGACUCAAAUUAUUCGUGGCGAUGCCGCCUUUCAGGAUAUGUUACGUGCGAUUCAAAAUUUUUUAUAUUUUAGUAGUUCUGUACCCCCCCCCCUCCCAAAAAAAUGGACUUUGGUGGCUCGGGAUAAAAAACUUUGUAGUGUCUUUAUGUCUUUUACUUUUUUUUUAACAUAGCCAGAGACACUACCAUGUCUCCUGAUAUAGGUAUAGAUAUUACGUAGAAAAUGUAUUUAGGUAUAAGUACAGAUACAUUUUUUUAUAAUUACCUAAGUAUAGAUACAGAUAUAAGAAAAAAGUAUCCGAAAAUUUAGGUACUUUUUAGGUACUUAAAAAAAAAGAAAAAAAGAAAAAUGAGAAAGUAGGAAAAAAUAGAGAAAACGAAAAG
rnacentral:lncRNA from 1 species